rnacentral:tRNA from 1 species
GGUUAUGGCUCAGCGGCAGAGUGCUCGCCUCGCAUGUGCAAUGUCCUGGGUUCAAUCCUCAGCACCA